AUGAGCUCUUCCAGGAUAUCAAUCGGAUUCAUGAAGACAAAUACCAUCCUUGCCCUCGAUGAGUUGUGUUAUCAUCGGCACUUUAUUGCCUUCCCUCCAACACAAACUUGUCCGUGUUUUGUGUUAUACCCUGAGUUCCUUGGUACCCAGCAUUGUUCUUCUUUACCUUGGAGUAUUACCACCUUUUAUGUCAAGAAUGCCGUGGGAAUUUCACCACCUCUUAAGAAUUCUUGGUAUAGUGAUACUUCUCACCAUCACCAUUCUUUCUUGGUCCUCGUGUUGAUUCCAACUGGGGUACCAACAAGUGAAUGGUGUUGUUUGGAUUCUGCACUUCUAGCAACCCUAUUGCAUUGA
rnacentral:rRNA from 1 species